GGAGUCUGGACCGUAUCUCAGUUCCAAUGUGGCCGAUCACCCUCUCAGGUCGGCUACCGAUCGUCGCCUUGGUGGGCUGUUAUCUCACCAACUAGCUAAUCGGACGCGAGCCCAUCUUUAACCGGAUUGCUCCUUUGACCCCUUCGCCAUGUAGCGUUGUGGUCUUAUGCGGUAUUAGCACAUCUUUCGAUGCGUUAUCCCCCUGUUAAAGGCAGGUUGCUCACGCGUUACUCACCCGUCCGCCGCUGAAACAUCCAAAAAGCAAGCUUUCCAAAUGUCUCCGCUCGACUUGCAUGUGUUAGGCACGCCGCCAGCGUUCGUCCUGAGCCACUGAUCAAACUCU
rnacentral:rRNA from 1 species